GUUGGUGCCAUGAUCAAGAAUGAUACUUGGUAUGAAACCGAGCUUCCCAAAGGAAAGAAAGCUGUUACAAGCCGCCUGCUUUUCACCAUCAAGUAUCUUGCCAAUGGAAAACCAGAAAGGAAGAAGACAAGGCUGGUUGCAAGAGGAUACACUCAAGUCUAUGGAGAAGACUAUUUGGAUACCUUUGCACCAGUAGCUAAACUCCACACCAUAAGGAUUCUACUCUCCUUGGCAGUGAACCUAGAAUGGAAUUUAUGGCAGAUGGAUGUCAAUAACGCUUUUCUUCAAGGAGAGAUGGAGGAUAAAGUUUACAUGAGGCCACCUCCAGGUAUGGAAGAUAUGGUCAAGCCAGGGAAUGUUCUAAGGUUAAAGAAAGCAAUCUAUGGAUUAAAACAGUCACCAAGAGCUUGAUAUCACAAACUGAGUACAACUCUCAAUGGAAAAGGGUUUGUAAAAUCAGAAGCUGAUCAUACACUCUUCACUCUCACAAGCAAGCAAGGAAUUGUGGUGAUAUUAUCAUCACAGGGAGUGACAAGGAAAGUAUCAUCUCUACUAAAGCUUUUCUUAAAUCCACCUUUGAUAUUAAAGAUUUGGGUGAGCUAAAGUACUUUCUAGGGAUAGAAAUAUGCCGCUAUAAGGAGGGGCUUUUCUUAUCCCAAAGAAAGUACACACUUGAUAUUUUAAAUGAGGCAGGAAAGCUUGGAGAAAGAGUAGCUAAAACACCACUUGAAGAAGGCUAUAAAGUCUUGCGUGAGGGGGAGUUUGAAGACAAACCAUUUGGAGACUUCAAACUCUAUAGGAGGAUGGUUGGGAAGCUGAUCUAUCUCACCAUUACAUGACCAGACAUCUGUUUUGCUGUGAACCAAGUCAGCCAGCAUAUGCAAGCACCUAAGGUUCAUCAUUGGAAUAUGGUAGAAAGGAUCAUGAGAUACCUAAGGGAGGCCCCGGGUCAAGGUGUUUGGAUGGGCUGCAACAAGAGCACAGAGAUUGUGGGAUAUUGUGAUGCAGAUUGGGCUGGUGAUAGAGUAGAUAGGAGGUCUACUACAGGUUAUUGCACCUUCAUUGGAAGCAAUCUAGUUACGUGGAAAAGCAAGAAGCAAAAAGUGGUAUCAUGUUCGAGUGAUGAGGCAGAGUAUAGAGCAAUGAGGAAGCUGACUAGUGAGCUCAUUUGGAUCAGAAACUUGCUAAGAGACUUGGGAAUAGAGACAUCAACACCAAUUACCAUGCACUGUGAUAAUCAGGCGGCCAUUCAUAUAGCUUCAAACUCAGUGUUUCAUGAAAGGACAAAGCACAUUGAAGUGGACUGUCACAAAGUGAGACAGGCUGUGGAGCAGAAGAUUAUUCUACCUUGCUACACUAGAAGUGAAGACCAGCUAGCUGAUAUCUUCACCAAAGGAGCAAGUACUAAGGUCUGCGAGUUCAUUCAUCCGAAAUUGGGACUCAUAGACAUGACUAGAUCAUGAUCCCCUUAAGCCAUGAAGCAUCUACUCUUUUUCCUUUGUGUGUUUUUGUCCCAUUGGAUUUUUCACACAAAAGGUUUUAAUGAGGGAUGUUUUCAUGGGUUCCAAGCUUAACCAUAUGUUAAAGCUUGAGGGGGAGUAUUGACAUGAAGAAAUAAAGUUAGCAAGACUUGCCAAAGGAAAUUAAGUAAGGCUUGCCAGAAUGAACAGUACCCGCGGAACUACAGUAAAAACAGACAGAUAUUUUAUUUUAGCUUUCCUAGUAAGCCAAGGGUGUUUGGCUACUAGAGUAAGCAUGUUCUAUUCUGAUUAUGUCUCUUGAUAACCCAUUGUAAUGACACUUUUUAGUUCUAAAGAAAAUUAUUCUCUCCUUUUCUCUCUUUUGUUUUUCAUUAUUUAACAAUAAACUCUCAUUAAAUAUCUCUUAUUCUCAUAAAUCUUAACAUAACACUGACUCCGGUUCAAAUAAAAGUUAGCAUGGUUUCUGAUAUGUGUGCAUUUCUAGUAAAAAUUAUCUGCUGUUCAUUACUAACCUUUUCUUUUUUACAGACGAAUUCAUUACCAACUUUUAGCUCAAAAUUCAUUUUAACAUCUCGGAAAAUAUUACAAAGAUCUUCAAACCCAUUAAAUUCUAUAGUCUACUGUGAAUGAUAGUCAUUUUUUUAGUCUUAAUCCAUUUGUACUAAAUCAUAUUCCUAAGUUUUCAUCGAACAUGCCCUUCAAUUUCUUUACAUAUAUUAAAUAAUUAAAUUUAAUAUUAUAAUUCUAAUUUAGUAUUUUUUUAUUUUGUUAAUUAAUAAUAGUUUUAAAAAUAAACAAAAUUAUUAAAUAAAUAAAUGCAUUGAAAAUGUUAACGACAUUUUAAUACUCUUCCCGUUUUAAAAUACAUUUAUAUAGGUUUAGUAAAAGAAUAUUUGAUUGUUAAACUCUAAUAUCUUUAUGCGGUGUAGACUUAUAGUACUCGUAAUCGGAGAACUGAUUACAACUAUCUAUAAGGACGAGUUAGAGGAUUAGCGUUCUCAUUGUUAUUUUUCUCUUUCUUCUGCUUUUUUUUCUUUUUGUAUUUUCCUUGCUGCUUCUGAUCUUGUCUUAUGAUGUUUCUUCGUUUAUAGAUGGUCACCUUACGGUACCGCUACGACAAAGUGUAUGAUCUGCAAGCAGCAAGUGCAUCAAGAUGGUAAAUAUUGUCACACAUGUGCCUAUAGCAAAGGAUUGUGUGCCAUGUGCGGGAAGCAAGUAUUAGACACCAAGAUGUAUAAGCAAAGCAAUGUAUAACCAAAACCUGAUAGCCGUCAUUCACAUUUUAGUUUCAAUCCCUUUGAUGUCAACUUGCAUAAUCAGGACGAAUUAUCUCGUGUUAGCCUGAGCUUCCUUCUCUGAACCUGUCUUUUCUUUUCUAGUUAUAACAAAAAAAAAAAGUUACCCUCC